AUACGGAGGGUGCGAGCGUUAUCCGGAUUUAUUGGGUUUAAAGGGAGCGUAGGCGGGAGCUUAAGUCAGCGGUUAAAUGGUGCGGCUCAACCGUGCCCUGCCGUUGAAACUGGGUUUCUUGAGAGUGCAAGAGGCGGAUGGAAUUCAUGGUGUAGCGGUGAAAUGCUUAGAUAUCAUGAAGAACUCCGAUUGCGAAGGCAGUCCGCUGGGGCACGUCUGACGCUGAUGCUCGAAGGUGCAGGAAUCAAACAGGAUUAGAUACCCUGGUAGUCCGCACGGUAAACGAUGAUUACCCGCUGUCGGCGGCAGACAGUCGGCGGCCAAGCGAAAGCGAUAAGUAAUCCACCUGGGGAGUACGCCGGCAACGGUGAAACUCAAAUGAAUUGACGGGG
rnacentral:rRNA from 1 species